rnacentral:rRNA from 1 species
GGUAACGCGUAUCCAACCUGCCCUUUACUAUGGGACAGCCCGUCGAAAGGCGGAUUAAUACCGUAUGUUGUCAUGUUGAUGCAUAUUUUCAUGACCAAAGGCUUCGGCCGGUAAAGGAUGGGGAUGCGUCUGAUUAGCUUGCCGGCGGGGUAACGGCCCACCGGGGCGACGAUCAGUAGGGGUUCUGAGAGGAAGGUCCCCCACAUUGGAACUGAGACACGGUCCAAACUCCUACGGAAGGCAGCAG